rnacentral:snRNA from 1 species
AUACUUACCUGGUAGGGGAGAUACCAUGAUCACGAAGGUGGUUUUCCCAGGGCGAAGCUUAUCCGUUGCACUCCAGAUGUGCCGACCCCUGCAAUUUCCCCAAAUGUGGGGAACUCAACUACAUAAUUUGUGGUAGUGGGGGACUGUGUUCGCACUCACCCCUA